rnacentral:rRNA from 1 species
UACGGGGGGGGCAAGCGUUGUUCGGAAUUACUGGGCGUAAAGGGCUCGUAGGCGGCCAACUAAGUCAUACGUGAAAUCCCUCGGCUUAACCGGGGAACUGCGUCUGAUACUGGAUGGCUUGAGAUUGGGAGAGGGAUGCGGAAUUCCAGGUGUAGCGGUGAAAUGCGUAGAUAUCGAGAGGAACACCAGUGGCGAAGGCGAGUCUCUGGACAUUUCCUGACGCUGAGGCACGAAAGCCAGGGGAGCAAACGGG